rnacentral:rRNA from 1 species
AGAGUUUUAUCCUGGCUCAAGAUGAACGCUGGCAACAUUCUUAACACAUGCAAGUUCGAUGGGAAGUCGUGUUUCUAGUGGCGAACAAGUGAGCAAGGCGUAAGAACUUGCCCUUGAGAAGGGAACAACAACUUAAAACGAUUAUUAAUACACCGUAGGCCGAGGAGCAAAAGAAGAAAUCCACCCGAGGUUGGGUUCCUGUCUGAUUAGCUAGUUGGUGAGGCAAUAGCUUACCAAGGCGAUGAUCAGUAGUUUGUUCGAGAGAAUGAUCAGCUACACUGGGACUAAGACACAGCCUAGCCUCAUACGGGAGACAACAGUGGGGAAUUUUCGCAAUAGGCAAAAGCCUGACGGAACAAUGCUGCAUGGAGGUAGAAGGCCCACGGGUUAUGAACUUAAUUUCUUAGAAAAGCAAUGACGGUAUCUGAGGAAUAAGUAUCGGCUAACUCUGUGCUAGCAACCGCGGUAAGACAGAGGAUGCAAGCGUUAUCCGAAAUGAUUGGACGUAAAGCAUAUGUAGGUGGCUUUGGAAGCCCGCCAUCAAAUUCCACGCUCAAGCCUGGAUAGGUGAUGGAAACUACUAAGCUAGAGUAUAAUAGGGUAGACGGAAUUUCUGGUGGAGCGGUGAAAUGCGUAGAGAUCGGAAAGAACACUAACGGCCAAAGCAUUUUUCUAGGCAGACUCUGACAUUGAGAGACGAAAGCUAGAGAAGCAAAUGGGAUUAGAUACCCUAGUAGUCCUAGCCAUAAACGAUGGAUACUAGACGUUGUGCGUAUCGACCUGUGCAGCCUUGUAGCUGACGCGUUAAAUAUCCCACUUGGGAGUACGUUAGCAAGAAUGAAACUCAAAGAAAUUGACCAGGUCCAAUACAAGCAGUGGAGCAUGUGGUUUAAUUCGAUGCAAAGCGAAGAACCUUACCAAGGCUUUACAUGUCGCGAAUCCUCUUGAAAGAGAAGGGUGCCCUCAGGAACGGGGAUACAGGUGGUGCAUGGCUGUCGUCAGCUUAUGCUGUAAGGUGUUGGGUUAAGUCCCACAACAAGCGUAACACUCGUGUUCAGUUACCACCAUUAAGUUUGGAAUCCUGAACAAACUACUGAUGAUAGAUCGGAGGAAGGUGAGGAUGACGUUAAGUCAUCAUGCCCCUUAUGCCAUAAGCGACACACGUGCUAUAAUGGGUGGAACAAAGGGUUGUGACCCCACGAUGGUGAGUUAACUCCAAAAGCUUGUCCUCAAUUUAGAUUGCAAGCAGUAACUCGCUUGCAUGAAGUUAGAAUCGCUAGUAAUUACCGGUUAGCCAUACAACGGUAAAUUCAUUCCUAGGCCUUAUACACACCACCUGUCACACUAUGGGAGUUGGUCAUACCCCAAAUAGGGUUAAUGUUUUUGGUAAAUCACUGAACUUUGGUCAAAUAUCAUUUUGAUCACUUAAU